rnacentral:lncRNA from 1 species
CUGGCUUUCUUCGCUCCGACUGAUCGACUUUCUACGCAUCGACUUUCAGCUUCUUCGCUUCGACAUCCAGCUUCUCCGCUUCGACUUCAGCGUGUGUAAGGCUUCGACUUGAGCCUGGGAGGUGCAGCUUUCUGGGGUCCGACUUUUGUCAUCGGGCUCUUCUAAGGUUGCACCGGGUUCGACUUACUUGGGGUCCGACUUUUUUGAAAGUUGGUCCUUUUCGAAGUUGUUCCCCUUUGGACUGUGGUCCGACUUUGUGAAGUUUGACGCCUUGUCAUCGACUUUCCAAAGUUGGAUCCAUUUUCACUGGGAUCGACUUCCAUGGGUAUAGCCUUUGUGCUCCCGAAGUGAUUCCCUU